ACUUUGGGGCUAUUCAUAGACUUUAGAUUCCAUUUACAUCUCACUAUUCUAACUUCAUCAAUUGAAGAUUGAAUUGCCUUUUUCCUCUCCACAUAAUCAAUCACAUCCUUUCUCUACUAAAUUUGGAAUUCUCUCAUAUAAUCUAUUUUCUAUUAUUUCAUUUUCGUGUUUUCUUUUUCGAGGAGGUAGCGAGAAGAUAGACAAAUGUAGAUUUAUUGAUCUCUCUACGCAUGUUGAUGUCGUCGUCCAAUCAGACGUGACGAGAAUCUAGAGUGAUGCUUUUGGCUAAGGCAUUUGUGGGCAUCUUCGAUCGCUCGACUUGAGGUCAACGCAAGAAUCUUGAGCCACUCAACCCAAUUCCUUGCCUUCUCAUGGUCUCUUCCUCCAUUGGUCCGUGUCUAACACUCUUUUAGUCUCGAUGUAACUACUAUCAUUUCAAUUUUAUUUUUCAUGUCUUGCUUUUUUUCAUGCUCGUAACUCUUGGUCUAAAUUCAAAUUUUACUUCAAUCGUUCAAUUUUUAUUUAAUUUUGGUAAUUAAAAGUUCUAGUACAUCUAGUUAAUCA